CAGCUAGUUGGCGGGGUAACGGCCCACCAAGGCUACGAUCAGUAGCUGGUCUGAGAGGAUGAUCAGCCACAUUGGGACUGAGAUACGGCCCAGACUCCUACGGGAGGCAGCAGUGAGGAAUAUUGCUCAAUGGGGGAAACCCUGAAGCAGCAACGCCGCGUAAAGGAUGAAGGCGCUUUGCGUUGUAAACUUUUGUAGUCGGGGACAAAUUGCGGGUUAUUACCCGCUUGAUGGUACCCGAAAAGUAAGGAUCGGCUAACUACGUGCCAGCAGCCGCGGUAAUACGUAGGAUCCGAGCGUUGUCCGGAUUUACUGGGUGUAAAGGGUGCGCAGGCGGACUGGUAAGUCAGAGGUGAAAUCUCGUCGCUUAACGACGAAACUGCCUUUGAUACUAUCAGUCUUGAAUCCGGUAGAGAUCUGUGGAAUUCCGAGUGUAGCAGUGAAAUGUGUAGAUAUUCGGAAGAACACCAGUGGCGAAGGCAGCAGAUUGGGCCGGUAUUGACGCUCAGGCACGAAAGCAUGGGGAUCAAACAGGAUUAGAGACCCUGGUAGUCCAUGCCCUAAACGAUGUUCACUUGAUGUCUGCCCUCAGGGUAGGUGUCGAAGCUAACGCGAUAAGUGAACCAC
rnacentral:rRNA from 1 species